rnacentral:rRNA from 1 species
AUGACGGCCCGCCUCCGCCGCUCGCCGGCGGCGUCCCCGCUGGACGACGACGACCUGCUCUGCGAGAUCCUCCUACGCCUCCCCCCGCAGCCCUCCUCCCUCCCGCGCGCCUCCCUCGUCUGCAAGCGCUGGCGCCGCCUCGUCUCCGACACCGGAUUCUCCCGCCGCUUCCGCCUCCGCCACCGCCGCAACCCUCCUCUCCUCGGCUUCUUCGACAGGGACCUCUCCUUCUCACCUACUCUGGAGGCCCCCAACCGUGUCCCUCCCGGCCGCUUCUCCUUGCAGCGCGACGACGACGACGACGACCGCUUUGUGCCCCUUGGAUGCCGCCAUGGCCUCGUGCUCAUCUACAUUCCUGCGCGUCUUCAGAUCCUGGUGUGGGACCCCGUCACCGCCGACCAGCACUACAUCGCCAUUCCCCCUGCGGUUGCGGCAUGCCCGGGGAAGGCUCGGAUCAACGGGGCGGUGUUUCGCGCUGCGGGAGACGUCCAGCACUUCCAGGUGGUCUCGGUAAUGGCAUAUGGUGAUGACCAUCAACAUAGACGAGCGCUCGCCUGCGUUUACUCGUCGAAGACCGGCUUAUGGGGAGAUCCCAUCUCAACACCCCUUCCAUACCGGGCAGUCCAGGCUGAUGCAAUCAGUGUUCCUACUCUCGUUUUUGCGGAUGACGCUGUGCUGGCUGGAGAUUCCCUUCACUGGCUGCUUGCUGGGAAUUUCAAUGGCAUUCUCGAGUUCGAUUUGGAGAAGCAGAGGCUAGCUGUGAUACGGCUGCCAGAGGAGGUCAACUGCUUGAAGCUUGUGCGGGCAGAGGGUGGUGGGCUUGGUCUCCUCGGGAGGUCAGUCACAAACUGCAUGACCCAGUUAUGGAAGAGGGAGUCCAAUUGUGAUGGUGUUGCUCCAUGGGUGCUAGGAAGGACUAUUGAUCUGGACAGGAUACUUUCCGUGAAACCAGAGCUGAAAGGGACCUUUGCAGGGGCCACUGCAAUAUUAGGGCUUGCAGAAGACAAUAAUUUGUUGUUGCUUUGGACAAUUACCGGCCUCGUCGUGAUCCAUCUUGAGUCGUUGAAGUUCAAGAAGCUUUUCAGAACUAAUACGUUUUUUCAGUAUCAUGCUUUCGAAGGUGUCUACACUGCUGCAGAAACUGACAUCGCUGGUGGACAUGAUGGAGCUAAUCUUUGGCACAGUACAUAA